GGAUCUGAAGGGUGUGCUAUAAAGUCUCACUUGGAUUUUCGUCCUUUUGAUUGGACAGGUUAGGUGCCCCCACCCCCACUGUUGUUUAAGGGUCCCCCACAUGAGUAGAUACAUUAGCUCCUGUGUUGAAAAAUACCAUAGAGAAAAUAACUUUGAUUAUAGGUGUCUUCUGAUUGUCAAAAAUUGUGCUGUUCCUCCACUUGGUGUGAACAAAAAUGGCCUCGCUUGACCAAGAUCUGACAGAGACAGAGGAAGAUCUGACAGGAAGAGUAGAUGCAGCUGUAUGUGGAAAGGACACAAACUGAAAUCGAAAGCAAUAGUGAACAGCCCGAAAAUGAAGCCUUCCAGGGACAGAAAGGAAGCACUCUGUGCAAUUUUGCUGGGCUUGGCAGUGAUGCAAGGAUUUCAGCCCCGACUGCUAACACUUCCUGUACUGAAACCUCAAACAACGUGCCUGCUCCUCAGUCACUGCAAGCAGCAACGUCCAUUGGAGAAGGAGAAAUAAAAGAUUCAUCAGGGUCUGCAUCUGAUUCUGUGUAAAUCUGAGGUGAGGGCUCCUUUGCUGGUCUACAUGAAUAUACCUAUAUUUUGCAUGACUGAUUUUAUGCUCAGCCUUACAAAUUCCACCUGAAUCUGCCCACACCCUCUUCUUCUAUGAUGAACAUUCUCAUGUCAUGAAGAGGGAAGCGUUGUUAGUAUCAAUCCCAUGGGGGCUAAAAAGGAUAGAACAGUGCCCAUGCCCAGGGCCUAGUGACUCUCACUGUAAUGGUAUUUGGUUGGAGAAUGGAUAUUUAAGCUUCAAAAUGUUAAGCCUAGAUUUUAACUGUCCUUAAUGUGAAACUGAUUUAUGCUCUAG
rnacentral:lncRNA from 1 species